GGGAGGCGAUGGCGCUCGACUUCGGAGGCUGGGCCAGGUCAGACAUUACAGCCUCUAGCCUGGUCCCGUGGGUUGUUUUCUCAGGGGGCAGCCGGCGGCCACGUCGUGGGGACAGUCCUCUGCAGUGGCCCACGUGGAAAGAAACCGGUUUGUCACCCCGGGUCGCCGGCCAUGUGAGUGAGGCACCUGGGAAGCAGAUCUCCAGCCCCAGCUCGCAGGAAGAUGCCUGAAGCCGCCACCCCAGAUUUGUCUCACCCAGCAGCUGCUGUAGGACUCCAUUCAUUCUCCUGCAGAUGAUAGAGCACUUGAUAAAUCACUUUCACAUCUGA